AGCGAACGCUGGCGGCAGGCUUAACACAUGCAAGUCGAGCGGGCGUAGCAAUACGUCAGCGGCAGACGGGUGAGUAACGCGUGGGAACGUACCUUUGGUUCGGAACAACUGAGGGAAACUUCAGCUAAUACCGGAUAAGCCCUUACGGGGAAAGAUUUAUCGCCGAAAGAUCGGCCCGCGUCUGAUUAGCUAGUUGGUGAGGUAACGGCUCACCAAGGCGACGAUCAGUAGCUGGUCUGAGAGGAUGAUCAGCCACAUUGGGACUGAGACACGGCCCAAACUCCUACGGGAGGCAGCAGUGGGGAAUAUUGGACAAUGGGCGAAAGCCUGAUCCAGCCAUGCCGCGUGAGUGAUGAAGGCCCUAGGGUUGUAAAGCUCUUUUGUGCGGGAAGAUAAUGACGGUACCGCAAGAAUAAGCCCCGGCUAACUUCGUGCCAGCAGCCGCGGUAAU
rnacentral:rRNA from 1 species